AUUGAACGCUGGCGGCAUGCUUUACACAUGCAAGUCGAACGGUAACAGGCCUUCGGGUGCUGACGAGUGGCGCACGGGUGAGUAAUGCAUCGGAACGUGCCCAGAGGUGGGGGAUAACGCAGCGAAAGCUGUGCUAAUACCGCAUGUGAUCUGAGGAUGAAAGCGGGGGACCAGGCAGCAAUGUUUGGCCUCGCGCCUUUGGAGCGGCCGAUGUCAGAUUAGGUAGUUGGUGGGGUAAAGGCCUACCAAGCCGCCGAUCUGUAGCUGGUCUGAGAGGACGACCAGCCACACUGGGACUGAGACACGGCCCAGACUCCUACGGGAGGCAGCAGUGGGGAAUUUUGGACAAUGGGCGCAAGCCUGAUCCAGCAAUGCCGCGUGCGGGAAGAAGGCCUUCGGGUUGUAAACCGCUUUUGUACGGAAAGAAAAGGCUCUGGCUAAUACCUGGGGCUGAUGACGGUACCGUAAGAAUAAGCACCGGCUAACUACGUG
rnacentral:rRNA from 1 species